AAAGCACCGAGGCUCCCAUGCUGCGACCAAUCAGGGCAUCUACUACUCCGGCCGUGAUUUAGGGGUCAUCCAUGAAUAACACUUCACGCUGAUGAAUGGCUCUGGCCGGCUCUGAGGCUCCGACGAGGGGUCUGCCGGCCGCUGAUUGCAAACACUAACGAACUUCAACAGCGCCCACUGAAAUUCACACGCACCAGCAAACACCUCGGGGGUGGGCAUUUCAGGUCAGCUGAGUCACCCGAGGAGGUGGGAGUGCAAGACACUGCCGGGAAGAUAGAUUUCGAGGCAGAAGGGUGUAAUUAAGGAUUUCCACCCCCCGGUAGGCGGCCCGUCCUUCACAGAGCCUCUGAAAAUGACCUGCGCCUUCCCUUCCAGAGUGUCCUCCCGUCCGAGGCUGAGAAGUGUAAAUGACCUUCGGGCAGGGAGAGUCUGAGUCUCUAAAUACUCAGGUUUCAUCAGCAGCCCCGACGCGGCUCUGCCGGAGAACAAGUGUCCACCCUGGGGUUUCAGCUCCAGGACUUGCUGCAAACGCGCCCCGGUCCGGGCACGGAUUCUGGAGUCCUCCAGAGGCUGCACACUCCGCAAUCAUUCUCUCUCUCUCUCUCCCUGUUCUCCCCUCAAAUUAGCAACCGAAGGCCACCCCUGCCUUAACAAUGCUUGCUCUGGGAAGAAAUAAAAAAGUUUACUGCGGUGCA